UGGACAAAUUAUUGUAUUCAACUGUAUUCACGGUGUGAAAUAGGGGAUUACACUAUUUUUAAAACGGAAAGUGAAUCAAUUAACAUAAUAGACUCCU
rfam:Nicotiana attenuata strain TT chromosome 1, whole genome shotgun sequence.